GUUUGGGUAGCUCAGUUGGGUAGAGCAAAGGAUUGAAAAUCCUUGUGUCGACAGUUCAAUCCUGUCUCUAAGCG
rnacentral:tRNA from 1 species